rnacentral:rRNA from 1 species
UACAGAGGGGGGCAAGCGUUGUUCGGAAUUACUGGGCGUAAAGGGCGCGUAGGCGGCCCGCUAAGUCGAACGUGAAAUCCCCGGGCUCAACCCGGGAACUGCGUCCGAUACUGGCAGGCUUGAAUCCGGGAGAGGGAUGCGGAAUUCCAGGUGUAGCGGUGAAAUGCGUAGAUAUCUGGAGGAACACCGGUGGCGAAGGCGGCAUCCUGGACCGGUAUUGACGCUGAGGCGCGAAAGCCAGGGGGAGCAAACGGGG